GUGCUUGCUUCGGCAGCACAUACACUAAAAUUGGAACGAUACAGAGAAGAUCAGCGUGACCCAUGCACAAUGAUGACAUGCAAAUUUGAGAAAUGUUCUGUAUUUUU